AUCUCUUUCUGGAGAUCCCUCCUUUUGGAGUUUUCUACUGCAAGCCUUGGAGAUGGCCGCUCACCUGCAGCUCUGGCCUCCAGCACCUCAAUGCCUGCAGGGAGGCAUGUCCUGAUACUGCAGUAUGAAUGUUUUAAUAAAGAUCAUCAUCAUAGACUGCAUUGAAAUAUAUACAACAAUAGGCUUUCAUUCUGAAGUUUGAGAGUGCGAUGAUCUGCUUACUCCAAAGGAAAUCUUCAGUGUCUGAUUGCAGAGUGUUUUCAUCGCUGGACUUCUCACUGGCCUUAACAGCACCUCUGCCCUUGUCUCUCACAGGCAGCCUGUGAGCCUGCUUUGGCCCUACAGAGGAAGCUGAGGGCUGCUGCCCUGCACAGAGCAAGGUGUGCUGUGGGUCUUGGCUGCGCCGGAGGGGAUCUGGGAGCACCUCCUGCUGACAGCUGAGCUGUGAGGCACUGCACCCAUGCACAGAUCUUCAACAGAAACACAGCGGCAGCCCAGCACUGGGAUUGCUUCAAAACUAUGUUGAUGGAAAGGUCAGAAGAUGCAGUGUUUGCUUCCAGCAGACUGCUGCUUCCUUUUGGAGAUGUAAUGGCUCCAUCUUUGAGCUUUCCCACCCCUAUCUGAUUUCAUUUUCUUUCAUAAUGUGCAUAUGCUUACAUUCAAUAAAAACAAGAGCAGUUGUCUCUGUAAGCCUACGAGGUGCUGCCACUUAGAAAUACUGGAGAAGGGACUCAUAAAAGAAUGAAGCCUACGACACAAUGCUGCUUUUAGGACUGCAAUCACUCUGCUGUAAUGGGAUCACACUCAUUUCUCUUGAACAGAACCUCACAGUAAAUAGUAAGUACAUAAAAGCAGCAGCAAGAGAUAGCACAGAUAAAAGACUGUUCCUCUGAAUAUUACAAGGAUGUACCUCUGAUAAAUGGUUGUUCCCUGGUAUUGCUGGUCCCAGAUAACAGUAUCCCAAAGCCUGACUUUUCCUAUCCAAGCCUUCCCUCUAACCAAGGGCAUGCUGUCACACACCUGGACUAACCAGCAUGGACAGGGAUGUUCUGCCAUCUACUGAACACAGGAGGGGACCUUCAUCCCAACCCACAGCCGCAGAGCAGCCUUUGAGGGGCUAUUCUCUCACACCUCACAUCAGCAGGGUUUCAAGCUGCAGGUUGGUUUUAUUUUCUGAGCAUUGUUGAGUCAGUUGUAACUGAAGAGAGCUGGAGGAGAACCCGAUGCAGAGUGCCCACAACCCUCUGGCACCCAAUGAUCCGACACGGCACCAUCGAUGAAUCUGCAAAAAGGAUCAUUUGUCUUCUGUUCCUAUAGCAACCAAUAAUUUUGAUCCUUGUGUAUUCACGUAUGUGUUGGUGCCUUGUUU
ensembl:lncRNA